UGUAGGUCUGCAGAUCUCCGCAGGUCUGGGAGAGUAUCUUGCUGGUCUGUGUGUAGGUCCGCAGAUCUCCGCAGGUCUGGGAGAGUAUCUUGCUGGUCUGUGUGUAGGUCUGCAGAUCUCCGCAGGUCUGGGAGAGUAUCUUGCUGGUCUGUGUGUAGGUCCGCAGAUCUCCGCAGGUCUGGGAGAGUAUCUUGCUGGUCUGUGUGUAGGUCCGCAGAUCUCCGCAGGUCUGGGAGAGUAUCUUGCUGGUCUGUGUGUAGGUCUGCAGAUCUCCGCAGGUCUGGGAGAGUAUCUUGCUGGUCUGUGUGUAGGUCUGCAGAUCUCCGCAGGUCUGGGAGAGUAUCUUGCUGGUCUGUGUGUAGGUCUGCAGAUCUCCGCAGGUCUGGGAGAGUAUCUUGCUGGUCUGUGCGGGGUGUCUGUUGAUCUAUUGCUCCUGUGUGAAGUGUUGGGGCUGCAUUUGAGAGCGAUGUCCUUUAGGGUCCGGGCGAAGGUGGGCACUGCUGCCUUGUAUAGGUGGACCUGGUCAUAAUGGCUGUUCUAAUCCAGGGUGGACCUGGUCAUAGAGGCUGCUCUAGUCCAGGGUGGAGUGGUGAGCCAGGAAUACGUUUGGUUUUGAGCCACAGUCACAGGAAAUACUUGCGUUUAUCGGCUGUAUGGUAGCAGGGUGGAGAGAACCACUUGUGCGUUGGAGAAAGUAGAAGAAGCUUUUUCAAUCACCCUUUCCUGUUGUGCGCUCCGGUCAUUUGUGCCUGUGUGUAUUAUUAUGUGGCAGGGUGACCCUAGUUGGUCCUCAGACAGAAGGUCUAGGGUGCGCUGGGUGUUUGGACACCAGAGUGUAGACACUGUGUUUGGGGAAAAAGUUUAUUUUCUUGUAUGUAUUUUAUGUUUGUACUACUUGGAUUCAAUCUAUGUCUUGUGU